GUCGGUUAAGUGGUUGUGAGUUAACUUUGCUACCAGAUAAAGGCAUAUGUUAGUAAGUAUUGAUGACCACAAAUUCGUCAAUAAGUGUUUUUUGGUAAAAACCUAUCGGUAAAAUCUGUCAGUAAAAUGUGUGAUUAGGUCUCGUUCUUCCUCCUCGCUUUCUCUCUUAUUUCCUAUUAAAUCAUAUUUUUCCUCUUCCUUGUCCAUUGAUGGUCGUCCAAAGUAUGCCACUCCAGCUUAUUUUAGUCUUUUAGAAUCUAGUCAUUUUCUUAUUUGUCUUCUUUUUUUCCUCUUCCUCAUCCUCCACCUCCUUCUCCAACUUCGACCUCCACAGUCACCAUAACCAACAUCCUUCAUCUACACGUCACCACCAAGACACCAUCAUCACCACCUAGCCACUUCCUCCUUGGCGGAUGUCAUCGUUUAGCCUAUACAUCACCAAUGCACAUCACUCACAAGCCUUCGCAUCACCCGAAUACCACCGUUGUUAACCCCCAACUACCUCUUGCUCAUAAUCAUUUUCUUCUCUUCUUAUCUUUUUCACCAAAUCUAUAUCCC
rnacentral:lncRNA from 1 species